rnacentral:lncRNA from 1 species
GUUUAUAUGUAUAUGAUGACAUAGGAGUAAAGGAAAAAACUUGUUGGCCAUGGCAGUUAGCUGGCUUAAAUGCCAACUUCAGUACAGAUUUUCUCUGUCAUAUUUGGCUCUGCUACCCUGUGAGGUGUGUUAUUUUAGAUUCGUAAGCUGACAUGUUUAUCCCUGUUCAAGCUGUUAUACCAACAGAUGAGCUUGAGGUCGGCAGCUCAAAAUUAUCCUGAACCAGGUGACAAUAUGGUAUUUAAAGAAAAACUCGAUCAAGAAGCUUGAUUA